AUGAGCUACACAAUUGAGAAAUACUUGUUGAUGCUAAAGGUCACCUUGAAAGUUGAUGAGAUUAUGUGAGUGCAAUAGAAUCUUGGACUGAACAAACUGCUACUCUCCAUCAGCAAGGAGACACCGUGAUGCAGUAUCAGGAAGAAAUCAGGAAUUUAAUGACUUUGCGUAUUUACUUUGGUCCACAGUAGUUAUGGGCAUCCAGCGAGAAAGUUGAUAAAUCAGAUAAUUUCAAGACGAGAACAAAUAAUUUUGUGUAGCCCUGAAGGAACACCAGUGUGCCUUGGAAUUUAAAAUAGAAUUGACAAAUGGAAUCUAAUUAAACUAAAGAGCUUCUACACAGCAAAAGAAACUAUCAACAGAGUAAACAGACAACCUACAAAAUGGGAGGAAAAUUUUUGCAAUCCAUGCAUCUGACAAAGGUCUAAUAUCCAGCAUCUAUAAGGAACUUAAACAAAUGUACAAGAAGAAAACAAACAACCCCGCUAAAAAGUGGCAAAGGACAUAAAGAGAUACUU
rnacentral:lncRNA from 1 species